AACCCUGAUUACGUGUAAUCAGCUGACGGUACCAAACGAAUAAGGACCGGCUAACUCCGUGCCAGCAGCCGCGGUAAUACGGAGGGUCCAAGCGUUAUCCGGAAUUAUUGGGUUUAAAGGGUCCGCAGGCGGAAUUAUAAGUCAGUGGUGAAAUCUCGAUGCUCAACAUCGAAAACUGCCAUUGAUACUGUAGUUCUUGAAUAUAGUCGGAGUAGGCGGAAUGUGUAGUGUAGCGGUGAAAUGCUUAGAUAUUACACAGAACACCGAUAGCGAAGGCAGCUUACUAGGUUAUAAUUGACGCUCAUGGACGAAAGCGUGGGUAGCGAACAGGAUUAGAUACCCUGGUAG
rnacentral:rRNA from 1 species